rnacentral:rRNA from 1 species
UACAGAGGUCCCAAGCGUUGUUCGGAUUCACUGGGCGUAAAGGGUGCGUAGGCGGUCGGGUAAGUCUGAUGUGAAAUCUCACAGCUUAACUGUGAAACUGCAUUGGAUACUAUCCGGCUCGAGGAAUGGAGGGGAGACUGGAAUACUUGGUGUAGCAGCGAAAUGCGUAGAUAUCAAGUGGAACACCAGUGGCGAAGGCGAGUCUCUGGACAUUUCCUGACGCUGAGGCACGAAAGCCAGGGGAGCAAACGGG